rnacentral:rRNA from 1 species
UACAGAGGUCUCAAGCGUUUGUUCGGAUUCAUUGGGCGUAAAGGGUGUGUAGGUGGCGCGCUAAGUCGGGUGUGAAAUUUCGGAGCUUAACUCCGAAACUGCAUUCGAUACUGGCGUGCUUGAGGACUGGAGAGGAGACUGGAAUUCAUGGUGUAGCAGUGAAAUGCGUAGAGAUCAUGAGGAAGACCAGUGGCGAAGGCGGGUCUCUGGAUAGUUCCUGACACUGAGACAC